rnacentral:miRNA from 14 species
GCUGGUGAAAAGGAACCACAU